rnacentral:Y_RNA from 1 species
AGCUGGUCCAAAGGUAGUGAGUUAUCUGGCUUGAUUGUUCACAGUCCGUUACAGAUUGAAAUACUUGUUCUACUCUUCCCCACUUCUCACUGUUGUGCUUGACUUGUCAACA